GAUGAGAGGUGGGAGCUGCCCUGGCCCUGCUCAACUCUGGUGUCUGGGCUGUCCCAGUCCCAGAAACAAAGGAGAGUCUGCACAAGGAGGUUGUCAGGUUUAAUCGCAACUUAAACCGGGCUUUGUGGCUGGGAGAGCUGCACGAGUUGGACGUCAUCUGGAGGAAGGGCUGUGCCUGAAUUUCCAAAGCAGGGUCCCACUGUACUGAAGCACUGUGUGCCUGCUUGGCAGAGAGGAGCGUCCCCAUGGGCUGUGACGGGCACAGAG